AUCGCUUCUCGGCCUUUUGGCUAAGAUCAAGUGUCGUAUCUGUUCUUAUCAGUUUCAUAUCUGAUACGUCCUCUGUCAAGACUGGAAAUGCUAAUCAUGUUGGCAUGUUAGCAGGAUGAGCAGAGUCCUC
rnacentral:snRNA from 1 species